AGUUUGAUCAUGGCUCAGAUUGAACGCUGGCGGCAUGCCUUACACAUGCAAGUCGAACGGCAGCACGGGAGCUUGCUCCUGGUGGCAAGUGGCGAACGGGUGAGUAAUACAUCGGAACGUACCCUGAAGUGGGGAUAACGUAGCGAAAGUUACGCUAAUACCGCAUAUUCUGUGAGCAGGAAAGAGGGGGAUCGCAAGACCUCUUGCUUUAGGAGCGGCCGAUGUCGGAUUAGCUAGUUGGUGAGGUAAAGGCUCACCAAGGCGACGAUCCGUAGCGGGUCUGAGAGGAUGAUCCGCCACACUGGGACUGAGACACGGCCCAGACUCCUACGGGAGGCAGCAGUGGGGAAUUUUGGACAAUGGGCGCAAGCCUGAUCCAGCCAUGCCGCGUGAGUGAAGAAGGCCUUCGGGUUGUAAAGCUCUUUCGGUGGGGAAGAAAUUGCUUCGGUUAAUACCUGGAGUAGAUGACGGUACCCGCAUAAGAAGCACCGGCUAACUACGUG
rnacentral:rRNA from 1 species